rnacentral:rRNA from 1 species
CUGACACAGGGAGGUAGUGACAAAAAAUAACUUAGUCGGGCCGUUUUCGGUCUGACUUUAGGAAUGAGAACAAUUUAAAUCCCUUAUCGAGGAUCAAUUGGAGGGCAAGUCUGGUGCCAGCAGCCGCGGUAAUUCCAGCUCCAAUAGCGUAUAUUAAUGUUGUUGCAGUUAAAAAGCUCGUAGUUGGAUUUCUGGAUUGAGCGGCUGGCCUUGCGCGCAAGCGUUCGUGUCGGCUUCGUUUCGGUCCAUCCUCAGGGGGACUUGCGCUGGCAUUAACGUGUCGGUGUUGGGACGCCUGUCGUUUACUGUGAACAAAUUAGAGUGUUCAAAGCAAGGUGUACUUGAAUACAUUAGCAUGGAAUAAUAAGAUAGGACUUUGGUGGUUCUUUUUGAUAUUUUGUUGGUUUGCACGCCAAAGUAAUGAUUAAUAGGAGCAGUUGGGGGUAUUCGUAUUCAAUUGUCAGAGGUGAAAUUCUUGGAUUUAUAGAAGACGAACUACUGCGAAAGCAUUUACCAA